rnacentral:rRNA from 1 species
GACGAACGCUGGCGGCGUGCAUAAAACAUGCAAGUCGAACGGACUUCAGUCCGCAAGGACUGAAGUGAGUGGCGAACGGCUGAGUAACACGUAGGUGACCUGCCCCGAAGUUUGGGAUAACAACUCGAAAGAGUUGCUAAUACCGGAUGUGACCACCGAUUCAUUUCGGUGCUUAAAGUCGCAAGACGCUUUGGGAGGGGCCUGCGGCGGAUUAGCUAGUUGGUGUGGUAACGGCAUACCAAGGCUUCGAUCCGUAGCUGGUCUGAGAGGAUGAUCAGCCACACUGGGACUGAGACACGGCCCAGACUCCUACGGGAGGCAGCGGUGGGGAAUAUUGGACAAUGGGCGAAAGCCUGAUCCAGCCAUGCCGCGUGAGUGAUGAAGGCCUUAGGGUU